GACGAACGCUGGCGGCGUGCUUAACACAUGCAAGUCGAACGGAAAGGCCCAAGCUUUUUUGGGUACUCUAGUGGCGAAAGGGUGAGUAACACGUGGGUUAUCUGCCCUGCACCUCGGGAUAAGCCUGGGAAACUGGGUCUAAUACCGGAUAGGUCCACAUUUUGGAUGGUGUGGUGGAAAGUUUUUCGGUGUGGGAUGAGCUCGCGGCCUAUCAGCUUGUUGGUGGGGUAAUGGCCUACCAAGGCGUCGACGGGUAGCCGGCCUGAGAGGGUGUACGGCCACAUUGGGACUGAGAUACGGCCCAGACUCCUACGGGAGGCAGCAGUGGGGAAUAUUGCACAAUGGGCGCAAGCCUGAUGCAGCGACGCCGCGUGGGGGAUGACGGCCUUCGGGUUGUAAACUCCUUUCGCUAGGGACGAAGCGUUAUGUGACGGUACCUGGAGAAGAAGCACCGGCUAACUACGUG
rnacentral:rRNA from 1 species